rnacentral:rRNA from 1 species
GGCAAUGGGCGAAAGCCUGACCCAGCCAUGCCGAGUGGAGGAAGACGGCCCACAGGGUUGUAAACUCCUUUGGUCAGGGACGAAAGAGCACCUGCGGGCGUGUGUUUGACGGUACAAGAAGAAUAAGCACCGAUUAACUCCGUGCCAGCAGCUGAGAUAAUACGGAGGGUGCAAGCUUUAUCCGGAUUUGCUGGAAAUAAAGGCUGGGUAGGCGUCCUUGUAAGUCUGUGAUGAAAGGGUUCGGCUUAAGAGUAGUAAGGCAUAGAUACUGCGAGGCUUGAGUACAGUGGGGGCAGAAAUAAUUGGUGGAGUAGCGGAGAAAUGCAUAUAUACCACCAGGAACACCGAUAGAGAAGGCAGUCUGGUACGCUGUAACUGACGCUGAGGCAAGAAAGCGGGGGGAACAAACAGGAUUAGAUACCGUGGUCGUCCCCGCAAUAAACGAUGGAUACUCGGUGUCAGCCCGAUGGGGUUGGUGCCUAAGCUAACGCGAUAAGUAUCC